GACAGAGGUCCCGAGCGUUAGGCGGAAUCACUGGGCUUAAAGCGUGUGUAGGCGGAUGCCUAAGUACCUUGUGCAAAUCCCACGGCUCACCCGUGGAACUGCUUGGUAUACUGGGUGUCUUGAGCCACUUAGGGGCUACCGGAACAAAUGGUGGAGCGGUGAAAUGCGUAGAUAUCAUUUGGAACGCCAAUGGUGAAAACAGGUAGCUGGGAGUGUGCUGACGCUGAGACACGAAGCCAGGGGAGCAAACGGG
rnacentral:rRNA from 1 species